CUGAUGCGCGCCAGCCAACCAGGCCAAGGCCAGGGGACCUCGAGACCGGCAGCCUCGACGAAGAACCGGAAGGAGGAAAAGGAACGGGAGGGAGGAAGAUGAGAUGCGCCUACUUCUCCCUGGAGAAGCUCGAGGAAGCAGGAAUGCUGGAGAUGAGAGACCUCGUCUGCUCAGGGGCUUGUUCUUACAUCUUUUGCAGGGCUGUUUUGAAGUCAGUAUUCACUUAAGCACUCCAAAUUACCCAGCACACCCUGCCUGCAUGGCGCUGCGCUGCACCUUCACUCUGGUCACGGGUCUGGCAGUCGGCUCACCAAUUCGUCCUGCUUCCCUGGGACUCGCCGGCUUUUAGCACUGCAAUUCACUCAGCAAACUGGGACUGUUGGUCACCCUACCUGGCAGCCAGUGAUAAGAUUUUGCUGCUCGCCCAUUGCCUGGAUCGGGGGCUACUUUGUAAACCACCAGGAAGACUCCAGUGUUUCUGCUUAAUUUUUAGAUGUUUGUUAAUUGCUCUUGGCCUCUCAUUAAUCCCCUGUGGGUCAUCCAGGAAAUAUACUCACCACUGUC
rnacentral:lncRNA from 1 species